UACAGAGGGGGCAAGCGUUGUUCGGAAUUACUGGGCGUAAAGGGCGCGUAGGCGGCCUUCUAAGUCGAACGUGAAAUCCCCGGGCUCAACCCGGGAACUGCGUCCGAUACUGGAAGGCUUGAAUCCGGGAGAGGGAUGCGGAAUUCCAGGUGUAGCGGUGAAAUGCGUAGAUAUCUGGAGGAACACCGGUGGCGAAGGCGGCAUCCUGGACCGGCAUUGACGCGUGAGGCGCGAAAGCCAGGGGAGCAAAGCGGG
rnacentral:rRNA from 1 species